GAUCUUGGUCAGAACGAACGCUGGCGGCGCGUUUAAGCAUGCAAGUCGAGCGGCAAGGGCCUUCGGGCCCCUAGAGCGGCGGACGGGUGAGUAACACGUGGACAAUCUGCCCCCCGGCCCGGGAUAGCCCAGGGAAACCUGGAUUAAUACCGGAUGAGACGGGACCCGCGAUGGCGGGACCCGGGAAAGGCGCUGCGGCGCCGCCGGGGGAUGAGUCUGCGUCCCAUUAGCUAGACGGCGGGGUAACGGCCCACCGUGGCGACGAUGGGUAGCCGGCCUGAGAGGGUGGACGGCCACAUUGGAACUGAGACACGGUCCAGACUCCUACGGGAGGCAGCAGCUAAGAAUCUUCCGCAAUGGGCGAAAGCCUGACGGAGCCGACGCCGCGUGAACGAAGAAGGCCGUGAGGUUGUAAAGUUCUUUUCGGGAGGGGGAACAACCGUGGCAGGGAAUGGCCGCGGGAUGACGUGAAUCCCGGAAUAAGCCCCGGCUAACUACGUGCCAGCCGCCGC
rnacentral:rRNA from 1 species